rnacentral:misc_RNA from 1 species
AAGUCGUAACAAGGUUUCCGUAGGUGAACCUGCGGAAGGAUCAUUACCGAGUACCGGAGCUUUCGGGUUCCUACUCCCACCCUAUGUUGACUUUGAAUGUUGCUUUGGCGGACCGGUGGUCUCACCGCCGGCCUAGGCUGGAGAGCGUCCGCCAGAGGAUUUCCAAACUCUGUUUAACUGUAAAUUCUGAGUCUUGAUAAAUUGAAUUAAAACUUUCAACAACGGAUCUCUUGGUUCUG